rnacentral:rRNA from 1 species
UACGUAGGGGGCAAGCGUUGUCCGGAGUUACUGGGCGUAAAGCGCUCGCAGGCGGUGUCCUGCGUCGCGAGUGCCAGCCUGCUGCCUACCAGCAGGAGGGCUCGCGAAACGGGGACACUUGAGGGCCAGAGAGGGACAUGGAACUCCGGGUGGAGUGGUGAAAUGCGUAGAGAUCCGGAAGAACACCAAAGGCGAAGGCAGUGUCCUGGCUGGCUCCUGACGCUGAGGAGCGAGAGCUAGGGGAGCGAACAGG